rnacentral:tRNA from 1 species
AUUUAUAUAGUAUAAAUUAUUAUAUUUAAUUUCCAAUUAAAUGAUUUAUUUAAAUAAUAAUAUAAAUA